GGAAAGUUUACAGCUACAGGAUGGAUAGUGGACAUGUUCCAGUAUGACUGGAAUUUUACACUAACUGGCCUAAAAUAGUUAAAGAGUAUGUGAGAUUAAAGGAGCAGAUCCUUCAGAUGGCUGCCUUGCUCUGAGAGCCACGACAUGGAGUCCUGCAGUCCACAUUCUGUGGUAGCACCUUUAGAAUUCGUCUAUGGCACAACUAUACAGGUUGAAACUGAACCUGGCGCAAUGAGCCACUACUUGGCAAUGCUUCGAAGGAACCCAGUUAAAGAGUGAAACACUGCACUCAGGAAAGCUAACAUGCAAACAUAUUGGACGCUUCACCGCACGAGGCAUUCUGUGGACAUGCUAGGAAGCCGACUGAUGUCAGGGCAGUCUCUGGGUGAAUUCAGCACUAUAUGCUUUUCGAAACUUUGAUGCUUCCUAUACCGUCCUUGAUACAGGUUUCCACAAAUAACCCAGUCAACACCUUGUCUACAUACAACAUAAUUGUCCUACUCAUAUUGUUCCUACAUACGUUUUUGCAGGCAGAAAUCCAUUUGGCUAGACAUUUUGGUUCACAAGACAAACAACAGACAGUAAAAGGUUAACUUGUUGGCACUACAGAUCAUUCAUCUUGCAAGACAGAGGAAGGCAUAGACAGAAAUACAUCAAAUUAAUUGCUAAACAUCUUCACACCUGUGUAUCACUUAACUGAACCCUGUUGAAUAAUGAACAUUCUAGUUACGUAUUAAAUCCAAUUUGACCAAAAUCAUAAAGAGGCUGUCAGUAUAUCUGCUCAUAUUAGGAAAACAUAUAACCCAAUAUUCAAGCAGAUGUUAAGUAUUGCCUUGCGUUCAUAUCUCUCUGGUAAUUUAGUUUUGCAAAGACCAAGCCUCUUAAGGUUAGGAAUGUCAGCAUGUCGAGCCCAUUUCAUUUCAUCCAUUCAUUUAGGUUAAACUUGGUUACAGUACUGUGUGUAAUAUGAAAGGAGAAAGAGACACUGGCAUUGUUGUUUGCUGUACUGGCUGCCAUGGCUAGAGAGAAGCACCCAGUGAAUCAAGGCACCACAAAGUAUCUGUUAAUACAUGACUGUUGUUGGCCACUCUUUUCUGUGUACUUUUAUGUGGUGAAGGAUUUAAGUGUCUGUUGAUUACACAGCUCAUCUGUCAUUUAUUGUCUUGUAAGGCAGUAAUCUAAACAUAUUAACAUAUUUCCAUUUGCCAACUUAGUCCCCAUGCAAACUCUCCAUAUAAAUUCUUUCAGGUAUAGCAGUGAGCAAGGAGAGAAGGAAUCACAGUGUAUUUGCACCUGGUUAAAUGUGUAUCUCUCUCGUGAAAGACUGUUAAUACUGUAGUAGCGGAGUCUGUAUGUGAAGUGUGAACACAGCAGGGGGUGCCAGGCAGCCAACUCAUCCAACCAUCACAUUCAUUUAAUCAUUCACACUAUCAUGAAUCAGGGAAUAUCCCAGCAAACAACAGUGCGAUAAUGUGCCAAGCACCUAGAAAAGCUGUUGGCCUCUGGGUUCGUCAGGUGUAGCCAGCUAUAUUACACAAUUCACACAAAUGCUACUGGAUCUACUCUAUAGCUUAAACUUGCUGGGCUGGUUUUUUUUUUUUUUUUUUGCUAAAGCUAAUUAUUCUUCUCAAUAGAACAAAAGCAAGAGAGUUUAAAAGAGCAUGUUGAAAUUGUUAGAUUCUGGUACGAAUGAUUUUCUGGCUGCUGUCUUGGGAAUAAAAUAUUUGCAUCAGAAUUUACCCAAUCUUAAUCUCAUGAGAAGGGUGUAAGGGUCAAAGCAGCAACCAAGGAUGGAGCCAAAAUGUUGGACAACUGACCCUAAGAUCAGUGGAAUAGAAAUGUGUGUGCAAAGACAUACACAUUAUUGUCUGUCCACUCAUUCUUUUCCAUCCUUGGCAAAAAACCCAUCACCCCAUCCACUACAACCAGUCUGAAGUCUGCUUCUGAAAUCACAGCAGGCACAAAGGGGUCUGUAGUAGCCCAUGUUUCCAUUUUUGCAGUGAACCUUGGCAUCCUAUGUUAUUAUUAUUAGUAGUAGAAGUACCUAUUAAGCUGCUGAGACUUAUUAGAAACAAAUUUCUAAAGGUUAUAGCACGCAGUGAAAAACUGUUUGUGUUGUGCAACUGAUGAUAAUAUAUAUGCGUCAUCAGUCCUCAUGGCAAACUCAUCACACGCCACAUUCCCUUUUAGUGUACUUUUUCCUCCAACGAGGUGCAGUGCUCUAUGUACAAGAGAUUGACAAUAACGCGACAGAACUCUUACAGUUAUUUUGCAAAAGAGCAGCACCAUUGAAACACUCACACACUGGCUGGCACAUAAGGAGAACCCAAUUAUUCAUCAAAGUACACAGCCUUAGCAUGCAUCCUUUAUAAUAAAAAUCAGAUAAAAUAACCCCUUCUUUUCUGUGUAUUACAGUGCACACCAACAUAAUAAAAGCUUCCUAAUGGAAAAACUCAUAGUAAGAAUAGUGCACAAUUUACAAAUGUUGUGCCACUCGUAGCUUAUUUUUAACAACCAUCCAAUUUGGAACCGUCACAAGAAUAGGGAAUGAUGGAGGAAUCCUAGAGAUUAAUCUGA